CAGGACGAACGCUGGCGGCAUGCCUAAUACAUGCAAGUCGAACGCUGAAGCACUCUGCUUGCAGAGUGCGGAUGAGUGGCGGACGGGUGAGUAACGCGUGGGUAACCUGCCUUAUACAGGGGGAUAACAGUUGGAAACGGCUGCUAAUACCGCAUAAGCGCACAGGGUCGCAUGACCUGGUGUGAAAAACUCCGGUGGUAUAAGAUGGACCCGCGUCUGAUUAGCUAGUUGGUGGGGUAACGGCCUACCAAGGCGACGAUCGGUAGCCGACCUGAGAGGGUGACCGGCCACAUUGGGACUGAGACACGGCCCAAACUCCUACGGGAGGCAGCAGUGGGGAAUAUUGCACAAUGGGCGAAAGCCUGAUGCAGCGACGCCGCGUGAGCGAAGAAGUAUUUCGGUAUGUAAAGCUCUAUCAGCAGGGAAGAAGAAUGACGGUACCUGACUAAGAAGCCCCGGCUAACUACGUG
rnacentral:rRNA from 1 species